CGCUGGCGGCGUGCCUAAUACAUGCAAGUCGAACGGUCUUUCUAUGGAAGCUUGCUUCCACUGAGAAGAUAGUGGCGAACGGGUGAGUAACACGUGGGUAACCUGCCCAUAAGAGGGGGAGUAACAUCCGGAAACGGGUGCUAAUACCGCAUAGUUUUCUUGAUCGCAUGAUUGAGAAAGGAAAGACGGCCUUUGUGCUGUCGCUUAUGGAUGGACCCGCGGCGUAUUAGUUAGUUGGUGAGGUAACGGCUCACCAAGACGAUGAUACGUAGCCGACCUGAGAGGGUGAUCGGCCACAUUGGGACUGAGACACGGCCCAAACUCCUACGGGAGGCAGCAGUAGGGAAUCUUCCGCAAUGGACGAAAGUCUGACGGAGCAACGCCGCGUGAGUGAAGAAAGGUUUUCGGAUCGUAAAACUCUGUUGUCAGAGAAGAACAAGUUGGAGAGUAACUGCUCCAGCCUUGACGGUAUCUGACCAGAAAGCCACGGCUAACUACGUGCCAGCAGCCGC
rnacentral:rRNA from 1 species